CCGGGGUGCCCGAGCGGACUAAGGGGUUGGGCUCGAGACCCAAUGCCCCUCUGGGGCGCGUGGGUUCGAAUCCCACCCCCGG
rnacentral:tRNA from 1 species